rnacentral:misc_RNA from 1 species
CCGAGUUCAUGCCCUUGCGGGUAGAUCUCCCACCCUAUGUUAUAUAUUACCUUUGUUGCUUUGGCAGGCCGUCAGGCUUCGGUCAGGCUACCGGCUCCGGCUGGUAAGCGCCUGCCAGAGGACCCUAAACUCUGAAUAUUAGUGUUGUCCGAGUACUAUAAAAUAGUUA